UCAUACAUUACUUAAACCUCCUUUAAAUGUUUAAAUACUUCCUUAACACCUAUAAAAUAUUCUCAACCUAACUUCUCAAACUCGUCUCUGAGAAUUUUAAACACUGUUUUCUGUGUUAGGAACUUAAAUAGGGUGAAUGUGUUAGAACAGUAACAAUAAACCUGCUUAUUCUUGAGUUUCCACCGAGAUAAAAAGAACAAAAGAAACUCUGGAUUUUUUCCUUGGGAGAAAUCGAUUCUCUAAGGCACUUGGGGAAGGAAAAAAGGAAUCCAGCCUCCAAGGACUAGCAAGAUAUACAGGGAGAAGAAAAAGCCUCGAAAGGAAUGUGACAUACACUGUGAUCAAUGAAUCUCGCUGGGAUAUCCGGGAGGACUAUAUUCACACAAAGGUGUUGUCAUUGGUUAAUUUUCAAGUCCGAUCCUACUUAAACUUCUCAUUUCUAAAGUGCAUUUUCUUCUAAACAACUAAAUUUUUCUUUCAUGUGAAUAUUAUCAGUACUCUUUGGGGGAUCAGAUUUUAUUACUGAUGUCUCUAAAGUCGAUGUCAGGGCAAGUGGAAAGAGAAGUUCAGGGCAGAAAUGACUACCAACAAUGAAAUUUGGAGGCCUGUGAGUUUGGCUGCCAUGCUAAGAAACAAGGAUCUUGAGUAGGUUGUUGUAAUGGCAUGGAUUAUUCACUAGAUGGCAAACAUAGUUUGAGUUGGAAAGAAGACAUUAAAAAAUGUAAACUGUUCAAGUUUGCUGCUUGGUAAGAAUAAAAGGCUCACAUCCCUAAAUGGUGAGCAGGAUAGCGAAAAAGAACAGACA
rnacentral:lncRNA from 1 species